AGCAGCCUGUACAGCGAGGAGGGCCUGGGUGUGACAGCGCUCAGCACCCUCUAUGGAGGCAUGCUCCUGUCCUCCAUGUUCCUCCCACCGCUCCUCAUUGACAGGCUGGGCUGCAAGGGGACCAUCAUCCUCUCCAUGUGUGGCUACGUGGCCUUCUCCGUGGGCAACUUCUUCGCCAGCUGGUACACUUUGAUCCCCACCUCCAUACUGCUGGGACUCGGGGCCGCCCCGCUGUGGUCUGCACAGUGCACAUACCUCACGAUCACGGGAAACACACACGCAGAGAAGGCGGGAAAGCGUGGCAAAGACAUGGUGAACCAGUAUUUCGGCAUCUUCUUCCUCAUAUUCCAGUCAUCCGGUGUGUGGGGCAACUUGAUCUCAUCGCUGGUAUUUGGCCAGACUCCCAGCCAAGAGACCCUUCCAGAAGAGCAGCUCACGUCCUGUGGGGCCAGUGACUGCCUGAUGGCCACCACAACCACCAACAGCACCCAGAGGCCCUCCCAGCAGCUGGUCUACACCCUCCUGGGCAUCUACACUGGUACGAGCUCCAUCGGCCCGGGGCAGGGUCCCUAGCAAAGCAGAGCCAAGCCUCCUUCCUGGGCUGACAAAGACUGUCUCUCCCAAUGUAAAAGUAAUCUCUCUUCUUCUGAAAUAUCCUUGCAAAAUGUAUUGGUCUGGAUUAUAUGCAGGCGGUGUUCUUAUGAAUCAAAUGCAGUACACCCGUGCUGUCUAACAGAGGAUCCUGGGGUGAUGAGAUUGUUAUACAUCUCCAGAGCCCAACACAGCAGCCAUUAAGCCCUGUGGUUGUUUACAUCUUAACUGAUUAAAGUU
rnacentral:sRNA from 1 species